GCUCCCGUAGUCUAGCCCGGCCAAGGAUGUCGGCCUUUCGAGCCGAAGACCCGGGAAGUUUUGGAUUUUUUCCAUAAUUCGGGAAUUCAAAUUUUGGGAAUGAGAUUCCCGGCGGGAGCACCA
rnacentral:tRNA from 1 species